rnacentral:piRNA from 1 species
UACUCAGAUAUGUCUGAAAUGGAUCUGCUC